rnacentral:rRNA from 1 species
UACGGAAAGCAGCAGUGGGGAAUAUUGCACAAUGGGCGCAAGCCUGAUGCAGCCAUGCCGCGUGUAUGAAGAAGGCCUUCGGGUUGUAAAGUACUUUCAGUCGUGAGGAAGGUGUUAAGGUUAAUAACCUUAGCAAUUGACGUUAGCGACAGAAGAAGCACCGGCUAACUCCGUGCCAGCAGCCGCGGUAAUACGGAGGGUGCGAGCGUUAAUCGGAAUUACUGGGCGUAAAGGGCACGCAGGCGGUUAAUUAAGUUGGAUGUGAAAUCCCCGGGCUUAACCUGGGAAUGGCAUUCAAGACUGGUUAGCUAGAGUCUUGUAGAGGGGGUAGAAUUCCAUGUGUAGCGGUGAAAUGCGUAGAGAUGUGGAGGAAUACCGGUGGCGAAGGCGGCCCCUGGACAAAGACUGACGCUCAUGUGCGAAAGCGUGGGGAGCAAAC